UUUUUGUCCUACCCCUUUCUCUUCGCCAUCUUCAACCACGUAACGGUCUGUAUUAAUUUCAAUCAACAAGGAAUCCCAAUACUUCCUCCUCAAUGUAUCUUAAAUUACUGGUUUUGCAACUUCAUUCCGUGUGUACAUAGAGACCCUCUGAGAGAGUUGAGGCUGUUGUAGGGAGAUUGAUUGUCUUGAAAACAAUGCUCUGUCUCUGGGCCAAUAAUGUUAAGAAAGCCGGUGAGCGGAUAGGCGUUGAUACGGUACUCAUCGAUUGGAAUGUACACGGAUCAAACAGUGUUCGUUGACUUAGCCGAAUCUAUCCACCGCAUCCCGAGGGAGAGCUUUCGGUUUCGCAAUUAAGACCAACUCAUGCUCUUGGCUACCACGAUCACAAUUUUGCGAGGGAUGAUCUCAGCAAGUUAUCCUUUCUUCGCAUAGUUUUGAAGGAUCAUCUAAACCUGGUCCUUACAGUAAAAAGAUUGUUUUAAUCCCUGUACCAUGCUGGUUCUUAUGGGAGCUGACUAAUAAAGGAUGUCCAAGCGUCUUUCUAAGUUUUGUCAUGUAGCUUUGAUAAUCUUUUCCUAGAGUCUCCAAACCCCUUGAGUGAAGCGUGGGUUUCUAACCCAUAACGUUCCUUCAUAUUGGUUUAUUGCGUCUUCCAGUCCUCAAUAUGUUUUGCCUUCUUCUCUUGGUGUCUUUAUUUUGUCUUGCUGGUCAAUCGAUUGAUUUUCAAAGUAAAUAAUUGCAUGUCUACCCAGCGGGAUAAACUUUGAGUUUUCUAUCAUACAAACAACUGGAAACUGAAGUUAUGUACAUUACGGACAAAAACUAAAGGAGAAUCUUUGCUUUACUGUAGAGGCGAUGGAGAGGUAGGUUUGAAUUUCUUAAAUCUUAUCUUUAGCUCCAUACCCCUUGAUUUAUAUAGUUCAUGUUAGCUUCUUCUUUUGUAUGCCAUAUGCAACUCUUGGUAUAAUUUAGUCAAAGAAGUUGGUGAUGCAACUUUUGGGAAUGUUUGGCGAGCUGUCAAUAAACUGACUGGUGAAGUUCUGAGUUGUUUUUCACGAGAGAUCAAGUCUUCUACACUAUUUGUAUUUGAUUUUAGGGUACUAAAGUUUUCAUGACAUGUUGCAGUGUAAAAUAAUGAACAAUAAGAAUGUAUAUCUCUUGGGAAGACUGUAUUAAUCUGAGGGAAGUGACUGUAUUAAUCUGAGGGAAGUGAAAGGUUCCGUAUCUUAUGAAUGAUUCUAUUAAUCAUCUUGCAGAAUCUGAUGUCCGAAAUUGGUGCUUUCAAGUGUCUCUCUUGCAUGCAUCAGCGUGGAUACUUCCACAGUGAUCUAAGGCCAGCUGCACACGUGUGAUGUGUAUUUUUGAUUCAGUUUCCAAGUUUUUUUAGCAGUCAUAUUUAAAUAUUCUGUCAAUGAAUCAUGUGUAUGUUUUUUUCUCCGAUGCAGAAAAUCUGUUAGUCUCUAAAGAUGUCAUUAAGAUGACUGAUAUUGGCCAGGCCGAGAGGUCAAUUCGAGUCCACCGUACACAGUGUAUGUCUCGACACGCUGGUACAAGGAACCUAAAGUACCAACUAGAGUCAUAUGUGUACACGUCAAAAUUUGGGCGCUAUUCUGCCUAAGAUGUUGUCUCUUCGCCCUCUCUUUCCUGGAGCUAGUGUUAUAGGUAUCCCAACUGAAGAGGCAUGGUUGGAGGGGCUUUAAUCGCUUACUAAUUCCCUCAAGUAAUGUUUGCUUAAAUCUUCAACGUUCUGGAGUAGUAGUAGUGUCCAGAUAUUUACGGUUACACCAAUAUCAACAAUAUUUAUAUCUAAGUGAGCACUAAAAUAGUGUAACUUAUUAUCUAAA